AUACUUAGCUGGCAGUGGAGAUACCACAAUCAAGAGGGUGAUUUUCACAGGGCAAGUUUGCACUUGGGAUGUGGUGACUCCUGUGAUAUCCCAAAAUGUGGGAAACUUGACUGCAUAAUUCAUGGUAGUAUGGGACUAUGCUCAUACUUUCCCCUU